CAUUAGCCCCGAUUGCAACGACAUCCUUUUUUGCAUUGGCUUGAAAAAAAGCGUUGGCAAAAAAGAUAUAGUGGAAAGCGGGAAAUUGC
rnacentral:sRNA from 1 species